AUAUUGGACAAUGGGCGAAAGCCUGAUCCAGCCAUGCCGCGUGUGUGAAGAAGGUCUUUGGAUUGUAAAGCACUUUAAGUUGGGAGGAAGGGUUGUAGAUUAAUACUCUGCAAUUUUGACGUUACCAACAGAAUAAGCACCGGCUAACUUCGUGCCAGCAGCCGCGGUAAUACGAAGGGUGCAAGCGUUAAUCGGAAUUACUGGGCGUAAAGCGCGCGUAGGUGGUUUGUUAAGUCUGAUGUGAAAUCCCAGGGCUCAACCUUGGAACUGCUUUCAUAACUGCUGAGCUAGAGUACGGUAGAGGGUAGUGGAAUUUCCUGUGUAGCGGUGAAAUGCGUAGAUAUAGGAAGGAACACCAGUGGCGAAGGCGACUACCUGGACUGAUACUGACACUGAGGUGCGAAAGCGUGGGGAGCAAAC
rnacentral:rRNA from 1 species